GGCACACCCAUAGUGGUGGGAGAUUUUGCGUCGCGCUUUCUACAACGGGAUACGAUUCACAAAGCACCAUGCUGAAAUGGAACCGUUGUUUUUAAACUGGACGAUUUGCAACACGAAAAUCUCGUCUCUUUUCUUGUUUGGAAGGUGAAAUAAACGACCUUUCUUUACCACUUUGUUGCUGGCGUGGAUAUCGACCUUGUUUGGGAGAAAGGGGCUAAAGUUUAGCCCUAGGCUAAAGUUUAGCUCACUCAAAUGGAGUGCUAAACUUUAGUCCUUUGGGGUGUUUGGGUGGAGGACUAAACUUUAGCACCUGUGUUGACAAAAGACUUAUUUACCCCUACUUUCUCUCCUAUCCUUUACCCCUUCUCCCCUCUUUCCUUUGACUCAGUGCAAACUCUCCAUCCGCAAGGGCCCCUUAUCAUCUUCGAUCGAGUCCAAUACGUGCAUGCGUCGUCGCCGUCGUGCUCCUCCGCUUCAUCCUCCCGCUCCUUGGGCGACGGCGCACUUAGGGCGGCUCCGAUGCGCAGGACGGCACAGUCGGUGCCUCAUCCGUGGGGGCCGGAUCUAGCUCUAGAGGCUUCGUGGUGGCGGUGGCGACAGCUGUGGGCGCCAGAGCCCCGCAGCCGCGGCAGC
rnacentral:lncRNA from 1 species